AGCGAACGCUGGCGGCAGGCCUAACACAUGCAAGUCGAACGAGCCCUUCGGGGCUAGUGGCGGACGGGUGAGUAACACGUGGGAACGUGCCUUUUGGUCCGGAACAACUCAGGGAAACUUGAGCUAAUACCGAAUGUGCCCUUCGGGGGAAAGAUUUAUCGCCAUUAGAGCGGCCCGCGUCUGAUUAGCUAGUUGGUGAG
rnacentral:rRNA from 1 species